GAUGAACGCUAGCUACAGGCUUAACACAUGCAAGUCGAGGGGUCUUUUGGAGCUUGCUUUCAAAGACGACCGGCGCACGGGUGAGUAACGCGUAUCCAACCUGCCCCUCAUAUUGGGAUAGCCUUCCGAAAGGAAGAUUAAUACCGAAUAACAUGAUAGAGUUGCCUGAUUUUAUCAUGAAAGCUCCGGCGAUGAAGGAUGGGGAUGCGUUCCAUUAGGUAGUAGGCGGGGUAACGGCCCACCUAGCCGGCGAUGGAUAGGGGUUCUGAGAGGGAGGUCCCCCACACGGGAACUGAGACACGGUCCAGACUCCUACGGGAGGCAGCAGUGACGAAUAUUGGUCAAUGGGCGCAAGCCUGAACCAGCCAAGUAGCGUGAAGGAUGACUGCCCUAUGGGUUGUAAACUUCUUUUAUACGGGAACAAACCCCGGUACGUGUACCGGAUUGCGUGUACCGUAUGAAUAAGCAUCGGCUAACUCCGUGCCAGCCGCCGCCGUAAAAC
rnacentral:rRNA from 1 species